UACGUAGGGCGCAAGCGUUGUCCGGAAUUAUUGGGCGUAAAGGGUGCGUAGGCGGUUUGACAAGUCAUCUGUGAAAUCUAUGGGCUCAACCCAUAGUCUGCAGGCGAAACUGUCGGGCUUGAGUAUGGGAGAGGUGAGUGGAAUUUCCGGUGUAGCGGUGAAAUGCGUAGAUAUCGGAAGGAACACCUGUGGCGAAAGCGGCUCACUGGACCAUAACUGACGCUGAUGCACGAAAGCUAGGGGAGCAAACAGG
rnacentral:rRNA from 1 species